rnacentral:rRNA from 1 species
GACGGAGGAUGCAAGCGUUAUCCGGAAUGAUUGGGCGUAAAGCGUCCGUAGGUGGCUCUUCAAGUCUGCUGUCAAAGAGUGGGGCUUAACCCUGCAAAGGCAGUGGAAACUGAAAGGCUAGAGAGCCGUAGGGGUAGAGGGAAUUCCCGGUGUAGCGGUGAAAUGCGUAGAUAUUACCAGGAACACCAAUGGCGAAGGCAGCUUGCUGGGCCACUCCUGACACUGAGGUACGAAAGCGUGGGGAGCGAACAGG